GACGAACGCUGGCGGCGCGCUUACACAUGCAAGUCGAGCGAUGAAGUCUUGACAGAUCCCUUCGGGGUGAAGAUAAGAUGGAUUAGCGGCGGACGGGUGAGUAACACGUGAGUAACCUGCCUUAGACAUUGGGAUAGCCUCGGGAAACCGGGAUUAAUACCAAAUGAAAUCAUAGGUGCCCAUGCACUAAUGAUCAAAACUCCGGUGGUCUAAGAUGGACUCGCGUCCCAUUAGCUAGUUGGCGAGGUAACGGCCCACCAAGGCGUCGACGGGUAGCCGGCCUGAGAGGGUGUACGGCCACAUUGGGACUGAGAUACGGCCCAGACUCCUACGGGAGGCAGCAGUGGGGAAUAUUGCACAAUGGGCGGAAGCCUGAUGCAGCGACGCCGCGUGGGGGAUGAAGGCCUUCGGGUUGUAAACUCCUUUCGACAGGGACGAAGCUUUUGUGACGGUACCUGUAUAAGAAGCACCGGCUAACUACGUGCCAGCAGCCGCGGUAAUACGUAGGGUGCGAGCGUUGUCCGGAAUUACUGGGCGUAAAGAGCUCGUAGGUGGUUUGUCGCGUCGUCUGUGAAAUUCCGGGGCUUAACUCCGGGCGUGCAGGCGAUACGGGCUGACUUGAGUGCUGUAGGGGAGACUGGAAUUCCUGGUGUAGCGGUGAAAUGCGCAGAUAUCAGGAGGAACACCGAUGGCGAAGGCAGGUCUCUGGGCAGUAACUGACGCUGAGGAGCGAAAGCAUGGGUAGCGAACAGGAUUAGAUACCCUGGUAGUCCAUGCCGUAAACGGUGGGCGCUAGGUGUAGGGGGCUUCCACGUCUUCUGUGCCGUAGCUAACGCAUUAAGCGCCCCGCCUGGGGAGUACGGCCGCAAGGCUAAAACUCAAAGGAAUUGACGGGGGCCCGCACAAGCGGCGGAGCAUGUGGAUUAAUUCGAUGCAACGCGAAGAACCUUACCUGGGCUUGACAUAUACAAGACAGGCGUAGAGAUACGUCCUCCCUUGUGGUUUGUAUACAGGUGGUGCAUGGUUGUCGUCAGCUCGUGUCGUGAGAUGUUGGGUUAAGUCCCGCAACGAGCGCAACCCUUGUCUUAUGUUGCCAGCAUUUGGUUGGGGACUCAUGAGAGACUGCCGGGGUCAACUCGGAGGAAGGUGGGGAUGACGUCAAAUCAUCAUGCCCCUUAUGUCCAGGGCUUCACACAUGCUACAAUGGUCGGUACAACGCGCAGCGACACUGUGAGGUGGAGCGAAUCGCUGAAAGCCGGCCUUAGUUCGGAUUGGGGUCUGCAACUCGACCCCAUGAAGUCGGAGUCGCUAGUAAUCGCAGAUCAGCAACGCUGCGGUGAAUACGUUCCCGGGCCU
rnacentral:rRNA from 1 species